rnacentral:lncRNA from 1 species
UUGGAUUAAACAAUUACAAAGGAAAUUAAUAACGAAACAUAAACAAGGGAUGACCCUUAGCUUGGAUUUUAUUUACUUUGUACAUGUAAUACAAACCAUAUAUAUAGCUUAUAGAAAUACAAAAGCAAAGUAGCAAAGAUACAUAUUCAACCCCACGAAAAUGACUUCAAAACAAAAUAAAACUUUACUUCACACAACAAAUUAAGAAGCCACACUUGAACACUUAAUUCAUGUGGGAUUCAAUGUCCUUAGUGAUACCAUUCAUGAGGUCAAUAUACUUGUAAGGAUAAGAAGACCCAUCAUUAAGUUUCUCAUACUCUAUAGUCAGAAUUGCCUGGCAAUGGUUAGGACCCUUGGGCACAACUUGGUAAGCUGGCUUAAAGCUUUUAUAAUGGUUGAACACAUCUCCUUCCAGCCCAACCAAGAUUAUCAACAAUUUAUCAUCAUGAAACUCGACCUGUUCCUUGAAAACUUCUGCCUUGCCAUCUUGCAAAUCAAAUACAAGAAAGAAAGAGAUCGAUUUUUUUUCCCUCUAUGUUAGUCAUGAAAAUAAAGACCAAAAGAAAAAAGAAAAAGAAGAAGGUGAUUUUAUGCAUACCAACAGUGUAAUACCAAGUCUUGAUAGAGCCAUGGUCAUGGUCAUCCCAGUUAGCAUCAUGGAUUUCAACUUGUUGAAUGAAUUUGGGGGUUAUAUUGGGAACAUGAAAACAUUGAUGUUUGAAUAUUUUGUAAAAUUUCUCAGCAGGUGCAUUGAUCUCUAAUUCACUCACAAGCUUUCCAAUUAGAGACAUGAUUCAAAACCUUCUAUCUCUAGAUAGAGAAAAAAUGGCUCACUCACUCAAUAAUAUUAAUGUUGAUCUAGUAAUUCUCCAUUCCUAACCCUUACCCUUUUUAUACACAAAGUUUUUGAUCUACUAAUAACUAUUUUGUACCAUUAGGUAUAAUGCAUUAUAUAAUUAAAUUUGACUUUUUUUUCAUUAUCAUUAUGGUGGUAGAGACCCACAUUGUAUAGCAUUAUUUUCUUUGGAUAAAAAUAAUAAUAUUAGUGUGCAUUAGAACAUUUAUUUAUUAAAUAUUAUACCAAUAAAAAAAUUAUCUCCAAUAAAAAAAUUGACAAUAUAUUUGUACCUUACCCAAAAAUCAAAGAUAAUGAAUAUUAUCUUUUAAUAGUUUUUUCUUUAUACAAAGUUGAUAUAGUUUAUUGAUUUGUCUAUUUUUGAAAAAAAAAAAAAACUGUAUAAAUAAAUUAAUAUAAUAAAAAUAAACCACAUUAGCAAGGGAGGAUAAAAGCUCUCAUUUACCAAAAAGUUUGGAAUAAUAAGGUUAAAGUUACUUGAGACUAUUUUAAAUCAUUGUUCACUUAAGAGACUAAAUUAAAGGACACACUUAUUAAAUUUAUUGAACUUAGCCAGAAAAACUUUAUCUGUUAAGUAUUAAUAAAUUUUUAGUUUAUAUUCUAUUAGUAAAAAGUGUUAAGUAUACUACUUUAUUAGACAUAUAAAUAGAGUCAACUAUACUAUCUUAGUUGACACGUAAAAAGUAUCAAAUUUGAUAUCUUAGUUGACACAAAAAUGAUGUUAAAAAAUAUAAUACUUGACGGUUUUUGAGUGUCAAGUAAUGGUACUAUACUUGACAGUCGAUUACUUGACGCUUUUUAAAACAUCAAGUAUAGGUUCACUUGACACCGUAUCAACGUCAAGUAAUCCAAUUUUUGUAGUAUGGAUCAUUUGUGAAAUAUUACAAAGUCUACUGUUGUUCGAUCUUUGUGAAAUAUUAAAAUGAAUUAGAAAAUAUUUAAAAUAAAUUUAUAUUAAAAAUAAUUAGACAAUACUUAAAUAUGUAUCAGAUGGCCCACAACAACUCCUGGUCGAAUGAUAUAGAGCCUCGUAAUAUUUUUAUACCAAAUAGAUAUAUUCCUAAGUUACAUCCAUAUCAAAUUGUCCAAUCAUAGGUACCAUAGCACUAAAUCUUCUGCAAUUUAGUCAUCUUCUUACCAAGCGUGCAACUCUAUAAGACCAAUUUGUAGUUCUCAGGUCAAUGUUGUGCAGAAGUGAUUCAAUAUUAUAGUCGAGAGAACAUCUUGUUUGAGAAAAAUUGUCUAAUGUUCUAUUAGCACCGAUGUGAAAACACAUUAGAGGACUAAUCGUCUCCCUUAUGUCUUGACUAUUCAUAAAGAAUUUGGGUAAACUAUCAUUGACUAUUUUGCAUGGCUCUCAAAUAAUCUAAAACGCAUAUUAAACGAAUAAUAAUAUGAAAUAAAUAAUAUUGAACUUAACAUUCAAGUUUAGCAUUGACAUACCUAAUCAGGUUGAAGAAGAUCAAACAUGUAUAUGUAGUGAGAUACUAUAUGUGUAGCUAACAUGGUUAUAUUUUGAUCUCUCCACUUAUAUUUUAGGUUUCAAAUUAACACAAGUAUGGUUAAUUCAAAUUAAAUUAAAAUAAUAUGUCUUGAACUGUAAGCUUAUCUAUGUAAUCGGUGAUAAUUAACAUGUCAGAGUUGUGGAGCUAUUUUUAAGAAUUGUUCCAAAGUCUAUAUUUAGUUUCACGCCGACUUGUCCCUCCUCAAACCGUCCAACUUGGUUUUGAUUGCCAUAACUUAGUCUGUUUGGUGCGUGAUCGCUUCUACCUUACCGUGAAACAUUGGUCUUUGGUGGUAAUUAGUGGUAAUAGUGGGUUUGACCAAUUAUGCAAUUGUAGUUUCCUUGAGUUGUAACAUUAGUUUAAUUGGUUAACUUGUUAUUCAAUCCUUGAAGGUGUUGGAAAUAGCGUUCGAGUUCUUAGAAUUCACAUUGAUUUUAGAUUUUAGUUGGAGUUCGAUUCUUCACUACUUGGGUAAGUUUAGAAUUCACAUUUGGGUGAUUUGAGUGAGAGAAAGUAUUAUGAAAGUGUUUGAUUUUUCAUUUAAUUAUGUUUAGGUUGCUUUGUUGGACUUUAAUUCGAUCAAGAAGCUUAGAUAACCGUAAGGUCAGGGGUUCUUACUACUCGACUCUAUAAUAAAUUUGGAAUGUAUUGACUGUAUGGAUUUUACUGAAUUGAGAUGGGUUAACUGAUAUGUGAGUUUAGAUAUGAUGACUGAACUGAGAGCAUUGAACUGACUGAAUUGAGAGUUGUUGACUGUUAUGUUAAUGUAUAGAUAGUGUAUUGUAGAUUGAAUUGACUUAACUGAGAUGAGUGAUGUUUAUGUAUAAGUAUAAUUAUUUGAGGAAUCGUUAUGCUAAUGUUUGACUAGGUACUGGUUUGCAUAAAUUGACUGUAUAUGUACUGAACUGAAAGAAUGAUAUGAUGGUAUCUUGAAUUGUAAAUUGAUCAAUUGACUAUUUAAAAUGUUAGAAUGGACAAAGGAGAAAUGUUAGCUUUAUCUAUAGGAUAGUGUGCCUUGCAGGUGUCCCACGGGAUCACUACUUGUUGUUCAUCCUUUGGAGCACUAGACUGAUAGGUGCAUUCUUCGGAAGCACUAGAUUGAUAGAUGCAUCCUUCGGGAGCACAAGAUUGAUAUAUGCAUCCUUUGGGAGCGUCCUACGAGAUCACGAGACUGUUAUGAUGCAGGGUACCAGCUCCUAAUAGGAAGUUAAUAAUUUUUAUUCUCACUCUUUUAUGUUUAACUUUUCAGACAAGGGUAAUACGAGAGACAGACCGACGAGGGACAAGAAGGAUGCGCGACUACCAUACACAAGGACCUAGCUUUUUCUAAAAAUUUGCUUCCGCUUAUGGUUUUUUUUAAAUUUUGUUUUCUGAUUGAACUAAGUUUAUGGACAGUCAUUUUGUAAACAGUACUUUUAGAAUUUGAUUUGUUUGAAAUAGGGCUCGAGCAACGUUUUUUUUUAUCGUUAUGAUUUAAAAUAAAUUUCACCAUACUUUGUGUCAAUCAAAGUGUUUUGUUUAAAAUAAUGAUUUCGACUUAGAUAGAAAAUUUGAGUUGUUAUAUAUGUACCACAAUUAAAGGACUAAAUUGAUAUAUACUUGAAAAUAUAAAAAACUAAAUUAUUACAUACUAAAGUUCAUGGACUAAAAUUGUUAUUUUUACAAAAGUUUAAAGACAAAGAGUGUUUUUUAUCAAAUAAGUAUUUUGAUUAUUUUUUCUAUAUUUAAAUACAUCCCACACACACAAAUAUAAAAAUAAGGUUAAUCUUCAUAAAUAUAACAAAACACCAAAAAAUUUAUGACUCGUGUAACAAAAUAAAAAAGCACAUGAUAUUUUCAUAAAUUUUAGGUUUGCCAAAUGAUUUUUCCCUCAUUUUUCUUCUUCUUAUUUGUGAUUUAUUCAAUUCCUCUUCGUAUUAUUAUUUUUUCUUCAAAUUAUUACUUAUUCUUCAAUUUAUAUUAUUAUGAUUAUUUAUGUAAAUAUUUACCAAUUUCUUCAUUUCAUCUUUUAGAAUGUCUUCUUUCUUCUUCACUUCAUAUCUUCUUUUUUUCUUCUUGAUACAAGAUUUAAAUGAUAUUGGACUCAACUCUUUAUACUAAGUUGAGAUCAUUACUAUUAAAUUAAAUAAAAAUGUUUUAAAAAUAAAUAAAUAAAUAAAUAAAAGAAGAUACUAAAUAUUUCAAUAAAAACCUCAAAUACUUAUUUAUAAAUCGUAGAUAAAUUAUGGUGAAAUAAAAAUAAAUGUGAAAUACUAGUUCUGACCCAAUUUAAAAUAAAAAGAAAAUAUCAUAAGAGUACUUAUGAGUUCUGAAUUUUAAAUAAAAUACAAUAAAUCAAAAUACUGAAAACAUAAAGGCGAACGCAAUCAUAAGCUUUUCUCCAUAGCAAACCACGAUCACUUCUUGUCAUUUGCUAACUUUGCUCUACCUCUACCUUUGUCUGAAAAAUUAAACAUAGAAAGAGCAUAAACAUAUACUGAGUAAGGUACCCACUACUAGUCCCGCUAGGUAUUUGUUAACUUUCAUAUGAUGUUUCAUUAUCUUGUUCUUCAUCUUCAGCUACUUCCUCUUCUUGUCCAUCUUUAUCUUCAUCCGUCUAAAUGUAACAAAAAAAAUGUUGUCAAAAUGAUUGUGCAAGAAAAUGUAAACGAUUGUUUACCAUUGUCAACACAAUCAUUUAGCACGACUAACACGAUCGUUUAGAUUUGACACAAUUUUCUCAUCGUUUAAAAAAAACUAUACAAUUGUAUGGAUAUGAUCUAAACGCUCGUUUAAAUUUGAAGCUUUUAUUCCAUUGUUUAAAAAGAACUACAUGAUCGUGUGGAUUUAAUCUAAAUGGUUGCUUAUCAUAGUCAACACGAUCGUUUAGAAUGGUCAACAUGAUCUUUUAGAUUUGAUAUAUUUUUUCUAUCGUUAAAAAGAAUCACAUAAUCAUAUUGGUACUACCUACAUGAUCGUGUAUCAUGAUCUUUUAGAUCGAGAAGAAUUACAAGCGCGUGUGUGAUUAAUGACAUGUUGACUGGGACAUUUUUUUUAUAUUUUUUUAUUAUGGACCUGUUGGCUUUUUCUUCAAAAUUUAUACAAUGAAAAUAUUUUGUCAGUGUUAUAUUUUUUUUAAAAAACCCUUUAAAUAAUUAAUUUAAAUUAAAUUGAACAAACAACUCUCUUACGUGAGAGUUAUUUAAGAAACAUGAGAUGCCUUUCCACGUAUUCCGAUCUCUCCCUAACUUUCUCUUUUUAUAUGAGAAAAAGGGAAGUAAGUAACACUCCACAAAUUUGGAAGAGAAGAGUGUCUGCUUAAUCUCUUAGAAGAAGGAAAUAAAAACUAAAUUUUGGUUCUCACAAGCUAAGAACUUCAAUCAAUUUUGGUUCUCACAAGCUAAGAACCUCAAUCACUUAGAGAAUAGUAGAGGUUUCAAGUGGUGGUGAUCUACAAUUCGGGGUUUUGUGUAAAUUUAGAGAAAACAAUGGAAGUAAGGUCUCCUCUCUGUAAUUCUAAUUAUAUAUUUAACCAAUUUAUUUAGUUUACAGUAAAUUACUUUUGUAAUUUACCAACGUAAAGGGUAUUUCUAAAUUUCCCAAUUAAAUUAAGUUUAAGGUUCGGCUAAAUUUGUCGACGCUUGAAAUCACCUGAGUAGUAAUUGUUAAGAUUUGUAUGGUAGGACUUCUAGCUCUUCUUGGGUCUUGGCUUGAGUCUUACAUGACCGCUUACAACUCAAUAAAAUUUUGUGCGCAUAAAGUUUAAUUAGGGGUUAGGGUUUUAAUUUUUAAUCAAUAAUUAUGAAAAAAAUCAAUUUAGGAAAAAAUCAAUUUAUCCUCUCAAAUUUGGGAGUUAUGUUAGAACCUUAAACUAAUAAUUGUAUCAAUUUUAACUCUAAAAUAUUAGAUGUAUCAAUUUAUACUUUACACGUUCAUAAAUAACUUUCAUAUAUAUAUGUAUGUAUCAAUUUAAAUUCCCAAUUUUCAUUAAUUUUAUAUUAUAUUAUUUUAACUAGAUUUUUGGGUUUGUUCCUGUCUCAAAAUUAAGUGUGUGUGAAGAAUAUAUUAGGAUAAAAUGAAUAGGUAGAAAAAGAGAAAAAUAAAAAAAUAAAAAAUAAAGAAAAAAGAAAUAGUGAGGCAUAGUUGAUUCUCACAUUACAAAUAUGUGUGAACAUGUUCUCUAAAGAAACGAAUUCCAAUUAAUAUUUUCUUAUUUUCAUUUAUUGAUUACGUUUGUGAGGAACCCUAAAUCUACACAUAAUUGUUGACCAUAUAAUUCUUAUUUAAACCAAACCAAAAAAAUAUUAGAAAAAAAGUGAUAGUUGCUACACCAUUUAUUUUCCUCACUUUCAUUCGCAAUUAAUAUUUAUAGGAAAAUAUAAACUAAAUGAUAUACAACUGGACGCAUGCAUAUAUAAAUUUCCUAACAAAAUUGGUUGUCUUUCCAAUUAUUAAUAAAAAAUCAAAUAUUAUUAAUCAUCUGACCCCAAAACUCAACCAAUCAAAUCAAAUCAAAUAUUUAAUAAAAAAAUCAAAUCAAAUAUUUAAUAAAAAAAUCAAAUCAAAUCAAAUAUUUAAUAAACAAAUGAGACUUGAACAACUCUAACAUUUAACGCUACAACGUCCGGUCUAACUUUAAACUUUUAUCUUUUAACUUAGCUCCAACUUGAUACUUAAACUACUAGACGACAAACUUUCACAAUGCAAUAUAACAAACCAACUUAUUUUAUUAACUUAACAACAUGUGUUCAAUACAUAAUACAUGCUUUCUUAAGUAGAGAGAACUAUAAUUAAAACUUCAAGCCCUCCAACGUCUGGUGAAACUUCUUGAAAUUCAAAUUUAAAAUGUUUGUCUAACGCCUUAAUGUAUAGCAGCUCGUCUUACCCUUCACAACUUGGCCUCAAUGCCUUUUUAUUUGAGGAAGGGAAACUUAAUACACAAGUCAAAUACUUAGUCAGUGAGGUUUUAGAAAUCAAGGAAAUUCAUUUUCAUAAACAAGUUCAUAAUGCCUCAUUCAAAACAUAAAACCACACAUUAGUCUUUCUUAUCCCUUUCGCUAAGAACAUGAACUAUUCUCACGCAAAGACUACUAUGAUUUCUCGCAUCAUCAACAUUCUUUGUAGAAUUUUCUGAUUCAUUUUUCGUUGCUCAAGCUGUUACACUACUACAAAAAUGAGUUUUAAUGAUACUACUAAUCAAGACACUGUGUCGUUCAAAAUAAAAAAAAAACAGUAGGGUGAGGUACAUUGUGUCGUUAAAAAUAAAAAUACGGUGUAUUUCUUGACACAAUUUAAUUUUUCUCGACACAAUUUUUCCGUUGUUUAUUAACGAAAAUUUUUUUGUGUCAUUAAAAAAAUUUCCAAAUGAAAAAACCCCAAAAUUGAUUUUUUUUUUUUUAAUUUUCCUCCCUCACGCAGUUAGAACUAAAUAAAAACCACAAAUUUUCUCUCAAGCAAAAAUUAUGCCGUCAAAGGAAGCCUUAACACAAUUUUUUUUGCUCUCUCUCUACCAAAUAUGCAAAAACAAUUCUGUUGAACAAAGUGGGUAUGCGUCCUUGUGAAGAACCCUGGCCUUCUAACUUUUUACCACCCGCCGCCAUCAAUUCCAAGCUUUAGCCAUUGUUGUCGUUGUCGUCACAAAUUUUCUCUCAAGGAAAAACGUUGCCGUCGAACAAAGCCUUAACACAAUUUUUUUUGCUCUUCCUCUCUAGCAAAAACACAAAAAAAAAUUCCUAUUGAACAAAGUGGAUACGUGUACACGUCCUUGUGAAGAACCCUUGCCUUCCAAUUUUCUGCCACAUGUCGCCAUCGAUUCCACACUCCAACCUCUGUUGUCGUUGUCCGGACAACAAGCCUUCGUUGUCAAACCCACCAAUCUAGCCACUACCGUCGAAUAAAUUUAUUUAGAAAUAUGAGUUUUAAAUAUGACACUUGAAAUAAAAAAAAAGGGACGGGAGGGAAUAAAAUGUGUCGUUAAAAAUAAAAAUGUGAAAUUUUUCGUGUCACAAUUUUCUCGACACAAUUUUUUUGUUGUUAAUUAAUGACAUAAAUUAUGUGUCAUUAAAAAUUGUCCUAAUAAAAAAUCAAUGUUUUCCUUCAUUUGUAUGCUUUCUGAUUUUAAAAAAAAAAUUUACGCUUUCAUCCCUCUUGCAAACCACGAUCGAAAAAAUCCUUACUUCAUCCCAUGUUGCCAUUGUCUUUCUCUUUCGCAAAUGCACUCCAGCAACGUUUCCCCCUCAUUCGCAAACGCUCUUCACGCCUUUCCCUCUCUCUCAAAAGCUCUUCACUCACCGUUUGAAGGAGCUCACCAAAUUUGCAGGUAGUUGAAGAAUCUGUGGACCAUGUGAUUGUUCGAGUCCAUUUAUGAGUUAGUUUGAUUAGAUUAUGUCACACAUACAUCUAUUAUAAUUAAUUUAUUAUUUGGAUUAUUGUAAAAUCUUUACCAACAAUGUAAUUUACAUUUUUUAUUAUCAAUAAUGAAAUCUUUCUAAACAUAUGUGGGUAAGUUGAAUCAUGUAUUUAAUUUAUUUAUAUCCAUCAUUUAUAUGUCAAAAAAUAUGUGUCGUAAAAUAGCUUUUCUUGACAGUAGCUUCAAUGCAUGACACAAAUUUCAUCAUCAAAACUCUUUAUGACGCAAAUUUUGUGUCGUUGAAGCCCUAAUUUGUACUUGUGUUAACUCAAUGUGCAUCGUUCAACGUAUUCACUAAAUUAUUAUAAAAUUGGUUUACAUGUAAGGAGAUCUACGUAUUUAAGGUAUACUUACUCUUUAAACGAAAAGCAUAUUUACUCUUUAAACUAAAAGCAAAGUGUUAUUUCCAACCCAAAAUUACAAGGACACUUCAAAAAAUAACAAAAAAAAUUUAUGAUAAUAGGAUUAAUGUCAUUGCAUUUUCUAAAUUGUAAAAGAAGUAAACUUAAAAGUCUAUAACCAUCUGAUAGUCGUCUGACAGCCAUUUGAUAGUUGUUUAAUAAUCGUUUGAUAUCAAUAAUUUUGUCAUAUUCGCAAUAUACAAAAAUAAGUACCAUGAACUAUUUUUUAAAAAUUGUUUUUGUCGCAAUUUUUCAAAUUAUAAAUAUGUGGUUACUUGUUUAUUUUUAGUGUUAGUAGUAACAUCCUAAUUCAUUUGUUUUGAGCUGAGAGGAUGUUGUUGACCGAUCCAAAUUCUCUCUAAUUUAUUAAAUUUAUAGAUAUAUUCUUCCUACACAGUUAUUUGAAUGUUGUUUUCAAAAUUGUUGUACGAUAGAUCCAAAUAAAGCAUGACGAGAACAAUAUUUUCAUUACAUCAACAUUUUGGAUUUAGAAUUUUAAGUUUUAAAAUACAAAAUUAUAUUAAACAAAGAUAAAACCGUUGAAAAAUAUAGUAUAUAAUGUCGUCGAUUUAAAUUUUAAAAUAAAAAUAUUUAUUAUGUAUUAACAUUACAAGUAAAGUUUUCUAUGCUUAAUUUUAAAAAUAAAAACAAAAAACAAAAUCUUACUAACUAAACAUCAAAUUUUCAGAUUUUUAUUUACAAAUUUUCUAUCAAAUAGUUCUUACCCUUUUGACAAUUUCUCAACGAAGUAUCAUUCAAACAAAACUUGUUAUUUGAAUGAACAAGGUCAACAUUUGUUAUAAAAGAAGAUACAUAAUGCAAAGUUAUUCUUUUAAGAAAAUCAAAGGUUAAAUAAACAAAUGUUUUGAAUUAAGUUAUAAUCAAAUCUAAGUUCGUCAUAAAAUAUGUAAUAUAAUAACAAAUAUGAUAUCAUAUCAAAUCAAGAAGAUCUUGCCUAUGAUUAUGGACAAACUAUUGUUUUAUUCAAGAAGAUCUUGCCUAUGGUUAUGGACAAACUGUUUUAUUCAAGUGUCACUUCAUUCAAGAUUUGUAAGAAAUUAAAAAGAUAUUUUGAAAACAAUGUAAGUUUGAAAAUAAUUAAACUAAAUUGGAAUGGGCAAAGUUGUAAAACAAGUUAACAAAUUAAAUUAAAAUGCAGAAAGUAAAGAUAGUGGUGAGAAGAGAGUAGUAGAUCAAAAAGUCCAAGAAAUUAAAAAUCUUAAUCUAACAGCCUAAUUAUCUUAUUCAGAAAAGUCAAUCAGCACCUUCAUGUUAUCAAACUUUUUAAUUAGCGUCAAUUUAGUUAAAGUAAACAUGUCAUUUGAGACAAUUAUAAAGGUUAAACAUGUCAGUUUAAUUAACCAAACACUUCACAGAAGGUUUAAACAAAAUAAUAUAAAGUUACAAAAUAGAUGUCCAUUACGUUUAGUGUAAAAAUGCUAUGUAUCACUUCCUCCACCAUCCCAUCUACAUUAUCACGUGUCUUGAAGAUACUAAUCCUUAAUGUCUAUGUAAUCUAUCUUAUGCUUGUCAAUUUUUCUAUAAAUGGUCGCAUUUUGUGAGUCUCGUAAGUUAUACACACAUAUUGGUGGAAAUUCAAAUAAAUUCAAAAUAGUGGAGGUUUUAGAAGAAAAAAAAUUGUUCUCAUAAUUUCUUAUUAUUUAUUUAUUUUAUUUUCUCGAUAUUCAUGUUCUUGUUGUGCCUAAGCUUUACAACAUGUUAUGUAACGACCUGAAUUGUCCAUAACCAAGUUGGGGUCAUUACUGAUCCAAUUAUCUUAACUAUCUAAAAACAAUAGUGGAAGCAUAAACCAACUAGUUCACUGGUCCUUCUCGCUCGCCAACUUGCCUUUUUUCUUACCUUUGUCUAAACAUAGAGAAAAAGAUGAGUAUAAAAAUACCUAGUAUGAGACCCACUAGUUGUCUCGCUAGGUGAUCUCUUAACUUUUUCAUUAUGAGAUACCAUAAAAUCUUGUGAACUCAAAAGAACACACGUGAUCUAGUGAUCCCAUAUGAACACUCACAAGUCUGGUAAUCCAAAAGAAGCAUACAAUAGACCAAACUGUGAAGUUAUCCCAUUGGACCACAUAUGAAACAUGGCAUGACUAAAUGACAGUCCUAUUGAGCGCACACAAUCCAUAUGACUGUGAAAGGUGAUCUUGAGAGAAACCAUAUAUUAUGUAGGUACAUGUCCUAAUAGUCAAAGUUAAAAGACAUCACACAGUUCAAAAGCAUGUAGCAAUCAUCAUAAACAUGAUAUGAAACAUCCAUCAUACCAACCCAUAUAAUCCAUCAAACAAGCAUAAACAUCACAUAAGAUCAACCAACAACUAUAACAACUCAUCUAUGCAUUUUAGCUACUGUCAAUGCAUAAUCACUCUAUACAUGCAUAAUUUUAAAUUUUCAUUCGAAGAAAAAAUCUCUUACCUAAGAUUAGUUAAAAAGAAAGUAAGUCAGAUCAUUACUUAAAAGAUAAAACAUCAUUUAACACUUUUUUGCAAAGAGAAACUAAAUUCUUAUUAAAAUACUAUCACAUACAUGUUCAAAAAACAUAGAAUUAACAAAAUGAAUAAAAAUAAUGUGUAAACAUGACCAGCAUGUUUUAAAACUUUUAAAGAAAAUAAGGAUAAAUAAAUAAGACAAAAUUUUAAAUAAAAUGUCUAAAACUCAUAAUAAUGAAAAUUGAUGAAGAAAAGGAGGAAGCAAAAUGAGGUCCCCAUAUGGCAUGUUAUAGGCACUUCCUCACUCGCUCGACCAGGAUUUCUUCAACUUCUUUAUUCUCUUUCUGACUGAGGUCGAUGGUUGGUCAGACUAUGACAUUACGCUGCUUGUCAUUAGAUUCUUGAUGGUAGGGUUUCAAGUUACUCACAUGAAUUACUGGGUGAAUUUUCAUCCAUAUGGGCAACGUCACUCUCUAAGAUGUAUUCCCUACCUUCUUCAGCACUCCUACUGGUCCCUCAUAUUUCCUCACGAGGCGUUGGUCUUUGCAUCCUCAGAAUCAAAAAUCUGUUUCGAUUGCAACUUAAUGAGGACCUGAUCUCCCACUCAAAACUCAAGGGGGCGACACUUCUUAUCUGCCCACAUCUUCCUCUGCUUCGAGGCCUUCUCCAGAUAGGCUCUAGCAAUGUCCGUUGUCUGCUUCCAUUCCCUAAUAAAGUUAUGAGCUUGAGGGUUCUUCCCCACAUAGGGGUGAUCAACAAGGUGUGGCAAUACCAUUUUCCUGCCUCAAACAAUUUCAAAUGGGCUUCUCCCAAUUGACGAGCUCGUAUGAGAGUUAAAACAUAACUGGGCUACAUCUAACAACUAGGCCUAAUUCUUCUCCCUUGCAGUAACAAAAUGGCAUAAAUAUUCUUUGAGCAUACAGUUAAACUGCUCGGUCUGACCGUCUGUCUGAGGAUGAUAACUUGAGGACACAUUCAGACUUGUCCCCAAGAAAGUGAACAAUUUUUUCCAAAAGGUGCAAACGACCAUCUCGAUCAGUCACAAUGCUUGACAGUACACCCCACAACUUGACAAUAUGUUUAAAGAAAAACUGGGCUGUCAAUUGUGCCGAACACUGCUUGCUAGUGGGAACAAAAGUGGCAUAUUUUGAGAACCGAUCUAUGAUGACUAAGAUGAUCUCAUAGUCACCUACUUUGGGGAGAUGAGUGACGAAGUCUAUAGAAACACUCUCCUACGGUCUCGUUGGAACUGACAGCGAGGUUCAGGAAGUCCAGCAACCUUCGCUUUCUCGAUUUUGUCCUAUUGACAGAUGAGACAGGUCUUCGUGUAUUGCAUGACGUCUUCUAUCAUACUGGGCCAAAAGUAACCCUUCUUCAGUAACGCGUACGUUCGCUGCCAUCUUGCUUGUUUUAAAGUCUAUUUUGGCUGGGUAAAGAAGUGGCAAGUAGCACUAUUAUCUGUCUUCACAACAAAAGUAGACACUUCUUUACCACCAUAAGAAAUACCACCACAAGAGAACACCACAAUAGUGCUACUUGCAAGCAUUAUUGCAUUCAGUAUUGCAUCACCACAAAAUUAGUCCUUAGUCAUAAUUUCCUGCAUGUAUCUCAUAAGAUAAUACCCACAUUCGACAGUACCCACUUGUAAAUGACACUAUAUUACAAAACCAACCAUGCAAAUUAUAUUAUGUGGUUAAAUUAUAUGUAAUGAUAUUAAAUUUAAAUUAUCUUUUAAAUAUAUUUACCUUUACCCACAUUUCUUUUUUUUAAGAUUGAAAAAUAGUCAAUGCCCUAUAUUUCCCAAAAUAUAGUAUAAUUCAAAAUAAAAUAUUCUUUACAUAAAAAAACAUAAACAUAGUUACAUAUUCGUUAUGUAUUUAAUAUAUUCUCAUGAGCUUGUUCUCAAUAAGUCAAGAUGAUACACCACAUCAUCGUACACAUUAAUCACAACUAAUGAUCAAUGAUCACUAAGUAAAAUAUAUAUGCAACUAAUUAGUAUUUUGCUACUGAUGCAAGUUUGAGUUGAUAAAAAUUGUACUUACUCGAGAUUAUAAGAAGCAAUAACCAACUCAUCUUAUUUGAAAGUUAUUGAUCUAGUCAAAAUGUUUCGAGCUCUAAUCUCUUGUGUAGUAUGACCCGCUGAUAUAAGAGAUGAAUCUACAAAACAUACUUCAAAACUUUCUUCAAAUCAAUAAUGAAGGAGUAUAAGUAUCUACAAUAUAUGAAUUGCACAAAUCUACUUAUUAUUAAUUAAAAUGUGAAUAUAUAUAUAUAUAAUAAAAAAGUAGAGCUUACUUACAUGAUAUAAGCCACCAUUGAUAAAAUCUUCACAUUUUGCAAAAAUCAAUUAUCUUCUUGCAAGACGUGACUCUUUCAACAUAAACCAAAUAUAUAGUUGAAAGAAAAAACUAGACCCAUAAACCAUUACCUUUUUUAGCAUAUACUUCAAUUGUAUUGGUAGGUUGGAUGGUGCACUAGUAGCUUCCAUCUCCUUCGUCAUCGUUCUUAAAGGUUUUCCUCACAUAAUUAAGAAACAAUAUAAGAACUUAUACACGUAAAAUUAUUUGUUUCUAAAUAAGAUAAACCGUGAGAAUUUACAAUGCACCUUCACAUCUACCUAAUUCUUCGAUACUGGUGGCUAAGUAGUAGCAAUCACUUCCUCCUCUUCUACCACCUUCUACUUUGAUGUAGGUGAUACACGAGUAGCAAUCACUUUCUUCUCUUUUACCACAUUUUUAAAAUUUGUAUCAGUUGCCUCAAGCUCAAGAGAUGGUACACUAAUAGUUUGUUUCUUUUACAAUUUUUUUUUUAAUCUUUCUCCUAAAACCAUCAAAACAUUUGGAGAAGUAAUUUGUAACUUCACUUUAAUAAACAAUUGAUAUUGUAACUUUACUUUAGAAACAAACAUUUUACUUUCUCCUGAACUUUAAACUUGCUCUUACAAUUUCCAAAUAUGUUUACAGAGUGUUCAUUUUUAUCAAUGAUUUGUUUGGUUGUAUCCAUUUUUUUUUUACAUUCUUGGUUUUGCUUUGUGAAAAUAAAUUGUAGAUGAAAACCACCCACACCACAUUUUGGAGUACCCAAAGCUUGAGUCAACACAUUCACUUUAACAAACAACAUUCAUGUUUGUUGAAGAGUGGAUUUGCAUUAUUAUUCUCAAUCUCAUCCUAAAAGUUGUUAAAUAUGAUCGGUAACAUGUAAAAAUAUAUACAUGUGAUUUGAUGCAAACGUAACAUUGAGAAUCUUACUAUUUGAUUGGCUACUUUUUGUACAUCUUCAUUAUGUAUUCUCCAUUUUUUUAUCCAAACUUUUUUCAACAUAUUAGCUCGUCCAAUAUCCUAUUAGUUAGAAGAAACCUUUUUCUACAUAUCAUUAACCACACAAUAGUUAAAUUUAAGUAUAUCUGAAAAAUAAUAUAAUAUUCUUAACUAACCAUUAGCAAUAUUCGUUCAUAUAACCUCUUCUAGACAUUAUAUGACUAUACUAAUUCUCUUUCUGAUCAUGUUAUUGACUUCUCACUUAAUAUACAAAUUUUAUAUAACAAGAUUAAAAUAACAAACGUAUUAUUGAUUAUAUUAAAAAGAAGUUUAAUACAUGAAAUUUUAAAGAUAGCCUUGAUCUGACAAACUCUCACGAAACAUGUGUUUCAAUAAUGUGAGAAUACAAUUAAAGCAAAUCUACCAAGAAUUACGGUUCAUCCAUAAAUAGGAUAAUAUAUUGCAAUCGUUAACCAACUCUCAAAUUGACAAAAUGCAACAUCCAUUAUUUUAUAAUGCUCUUCUUACUUUUACCAUCACCCUAAACAUUUAACCAUGCUUAGUGUAAGCUUUUGAAACUCACAUAGCCUAGUAGAAAGUUCAAAAAGUGUAAAAAAAAAAAAAAAAAAAGACUUAAAGACCCAAAAUGACAACUAAGUGUUCCGGUGCAACAAAAUUGUUUCUAAAUGUCUAGAGAGCAUUUACAAUUGAUGGUCGGUAAGAAGGUCAUUAUUAAAAUAUCAAAAUAGGCAUUUCAUUAAUUUAAAGAAAUAUUUAUCUUACACAUUUUAAGAACAACAUGAAAGUACUCAAAACUUACACAUUUUCCCAAUAAUAAAUAUUUAUCUCCCUCAUUUUCCCAAUUAAAUAUAUAUCUAAUUACUUCUCUUUCCUAAUCAAUUUACCAAUUCCCCCAAUGAAAUAUGUAUACCUAAUACUGUAACAUAUAUAUUUAAUAUCUCAAAUUCCUCCUUCCCAAGUCGUACGGAUUCAAGAUCAAGGGGUGCCUCUGAAUCUCCAUUCUUCCUCCUUUCCCUUCUAACUAUCCGCCUAACCCUCUUUCUCUCUUCUUUCUGGGUCCUAUGAGUAAACUCAGAUUAAGAGAAUGAAGUGAGGAUUGAAAAAAACACUUAUCUCUCUUCUUUUCUGGGUCCUUUGAUUUUUUUUUUUUUCCGAUCAUUUGUUCUUAGUUAUAUUUUAAUUAAUUCAAUCAAUUUACUUCCCAUUUUAAGUUGUAAAGGAAAAAAAAUUAGAUGUUUACAGACAUAAAAUAGACACAAAACAUAAUGAAUAAGAAAGAAACAAUUGAGUUGUCUUGGAUUAAACAAUUACAAAGGAAAUUAAUAACGAAACAUAAACAAGGGAUGACCCUUACUUGGAUUUUAUUUACUUUGUACAUGUAAUACAAACCAUAUAUAUAGCUUAUAGAAAUACAAAAGCAAAGUAGCAAAGAUACAUAUUCAACCCCACGAAAAUGACUUCAAAACAAAAUAAAACUUUACUUCACACAACAAAUUAACAAGCCACACUUGAACACUUAAUUCAUGUGGGAUUCAAUGUCCUUAGUGAUACCAUUCAUGAGGUCAAUAUACUUGUAAGGAUAAGAAGACCCAUCGUUAAGUUUCUCAUACUCUAUAGUCAGAAUUGCCUGGCAAUGGUUAGGACCCUUGGGCACAACUUGGUAAGAUGGCUUAAAGCUUUUAUAAUGGUUGAACACAUCUCCUUCCAGCCCAACCAAGAUUAUCAACAAUUUAUCAUCGUGAAACUCGACCUGUUCCUUGAAAACUUCUGCCUUGCCAUCUUGCAAAUCAAAUACAAGAAAGAAAGAGAUCGAUUUUUUUUCCCUCUAUGUUAGUCAUGAAAAUAAAAAACAAAAAAAAAAAAAAAAGAAAGAAAGAAAAAGAAGAAGGUGAUUUUAUGCAUACCAACAGUGUAAUACCAAGUCUUGAUAGAGCCAUGGUCAUGGUCAUCCCAGUUAGCAUCAUGGAUUUCAACUUGUUGAAUGAAUUUGGGGGUUAUAUUGGGAACAUGAAAACAUUGAUGUUUGAAUAUUUUGUAAAAUUUCUCAGCAGGUGCAUUGAUCUCUAAUUCACUCACAAGCUUUCCAAUUAGAGACAUGAUUCAAAACCUUCUAUCUCUAGAUAGAGAAAAAAUAGCUCACUCACUCAAUAAUAUUAACGUUGAUAUAGUAAUUCUCCAUUCCUAACCCUUACCCUUUUUAUACACAAAGUUUUUGAUCUACUAAUAACUAUCUUGUACCAUUAGAUAUAAUGAAUUAUAUAAUUAAAUUUGACUUUUUUUUCAUUAUCAUUAUGGUGGUAGAGACCCACAUUGUAUACCAUUAUUUUCUUUGGAUAAAAAUAAUAAUAUUAGUGUGCAUUAGAACAUUUAUUUAUUAAAUAUUAUACCAAUAAAAAAAAUUAUCUCCAAUAAAAAAAUUGACAAUAUAUUUGUACCUUACCCAAAAAUCAAAGAUAAUGAAUAUUAUCUUUUAAUAGUUUUUUCUUUAUACAAAGUUGAUAUAGUUUAUUGAUUUGUCUAUUUUUGAAAAAAAAAAAAAACUGUAUAAAUAAAUUAAUAUAAUAAAAAUAAACCACAUUAGGAAGGGAGGAUAAAAGCUCUCAUUUACCAAAAAGUUUGGAAUAAUAAGGUUAAAGUUAUUUGAGACUAUUUUAAAUCAUUGUUCACUUAAAGUGACUAGAUUAAAGGACACACUUAUUAAAUUUAUUGAGCUAAAUAGACACAUAAAUUUUAUCUGUUAAGUAUUAAUAAAUUAAAACAACAUACCGUAAACCAUAAGUUUAUCCAUGUAAUUGGUGAUAAUUAACAUGUAGGAACUGUGGAGCUAUUUUUAAGAAUUGUUCCAAAGCCCAUAUUUUUAAUGAAUUAAUGAUUAAACAAUUUAAUGAAUACCUUGUUUUGGUGCUUCGUAUAACUAUCUAUACAACCACACCAAACAUGGUCCACCUUAAAAAUUUUGCCCUGUUUCAUGUAGAUCAACUAACAAUGGUAGGAACAUUAUAUUAGGUGCACAUAACAAUUGGAUUAUCCGUAAACAUACUUCUACCCAUCAACUGUAAUAUAUAUGCCUCUGCAUAUCUUAUGAUAGUGUUCUUGUCUGCAUUGUCAUCUAACCCAGGCAAUUAUGUCCCUAGCCAUGUUAGACUUAAUCAUGAACUUGUGAUUUGUUUACCAAGUGGGAUUAUAUUGCGUUACAUUUGGCAUAGAUGCAACCAAUCUUAUGGGUUUGACCGGUAAUGUCAUGUCCUACCCCACAUGUGUUCUAUAUGAUGUGGUAUGCGACGCGCUAGUGUCACGCCUCGCCCUAAAGAUUGCUUCUUGCAACCAGGUGGACGCAUGUUGCCUAAACCUUUAUCACGUACUUCUCGUGAGGUAAUGUGCUAAAGAUCUAGUAAGCGAAACAACUUAUCUCUUUGUGUACAACUUAAACUCCAAACUUUUCAUUUAUACAAGCAAGCAGAAUGCAACAACUUAAAUUUUUACUAACGUAUCUUUGAUACUGCAUUUUUUUUAGUUUUGUUCCCUUACGCGAUAGACAUUGACAUUGAUGAUACAACGGAAUGAGUACAAAACUUUCCUUUAUUACUUAACACUUUUAGAGGUUUUAGAAAUUACAAGUAUAACUCUCUAAACUCUCUUGACACUGAUACUUGGUUACCACUUGCCUAAUGCCUCUGUCUUUCCUCGUCUGUUGUCUAGUGUUACGUCUUGAGACGAUUUCUUAAAUGUGUGAGACCUUUCUUUCUUCGACUCGGCUCUUCGACUCUUUUACUCUCUAAAAUCAAAGCUAGCUUCUCAUCGUCCUCUAAACUGCUCUCUGUAGAGGGUACUUAGAGGUGUAAAGAUGGCAUUUUCUCCUCCACUUAGGUUGCUCAACCACCUCUCAUAGCGCACCACAUUAGGGCUACUCUUCCCCUGACUCAACUCCUAGGCUCUUUGGCUCACCGAGUUAGUCCUUCACCAACUUGAGUAUUGCACUCACCUGCCUUCUGAGUUGGGCCAUCCGCACCAAGGAGCGAUUUGCUUACCAAUCGGCCCCUCAGAUUUAAUAGAAACUUUCACAUUCAACGCACCAUGUAAGACUACAAAGACGCACUAUCUUCCUUCCUUAACUUGGCUAUGAAGCCUCUUAAUGAACCUUCGCAUGACUUUAAUGCCUAACAACCCAUAUCUUUUGGUCUCCACUCCUUCCUUCUCUACUUUUGGAUUCCUUUUCUAGUAAAGUGUUUUUGUUUACCAACCGUUAAGUAUCCCAAGCCUCUUUUUCUCCAUUCUAACCUGGCAUAUCCUUUUUCCUCUGGAAAAACUCUCUCUUCUUUUGGCCUUUGACUCUUUUUACAGUGACCUUUCACGUCUAAGGGUCGCUUUAUUACUUUACACGUGUCCCUUUACAUAUUCACCACACCAUAUAACCAAUCUGAACUUGACGUGUAGACAAAAAUAUGGUGGUGAUUAGACAUCCCUUUGAAAUGUCAAAUUAAUUAUCUCUUUAGGAAGCCAAACUUCUAUAAAUCGCCUAACCCUCCUUAUCUCCUCGGGAAGCCACAAAUAUUUAUUUAUGUUCAUGAGUCGUUUAGUCUUGUUGACAUGACUCCUACAACUUCUCUAAGCACAAGUGCUUCUUCUCGCAUUAUGGUAUCAAAUGCCUAACUCUCGUCAUAUAGGUUUCUUCUCGCCACUCAUUCUUAUCGCGUCAAGUACAUCUGCAUGAUUAACCUUAGGCAGGUAUUUCUUUUUUUGUCGUCCUUCUUCCUCCUUUUGUGCUAUUAUUUCUCAUGCACUGUACUCUUAUUGGAGUGGUUUCUUCACAAUAAUUUUUCUCCAUCGAACUUCCUUCUUUGGGUCAGAUUGUGGACGUAUACUCCUUCCAUGGAGCAUAUUGUACGAUUAGAAUUUUCUUUAUUGUGUCACCAUCGCAGGGUCUUUGUCACGUUGGGUGUACACGGUUAGGGCCUUACAACUAGAAUCUUUGAACUUAAACAUUUAUACGAUUCAAAACUUAACAUAAGCAGCAAAACCACCACAACUUUAAUAACAUAAACCACUUCUUAUUUCUUAACCCAACCGUUCGACAAUUUAACUCUUUACAUGCAUCGUUAAUACAAGAAUUAUACCAAUUAAACUUAAAUGUCUUGCUUAGCUUCCUCGCAUAGCAACUCAUCUCACAUUUCUUUACUUGGCCUUAAUGCCGGAUCACCUGGGAAGGGAACACUUAAAACGUAAGGCAAAUACUUAGUGAAUGAUAGUUUUGAAAACCUUUUUGGACAUAUACAAUACGUAAAACCAUUUUCAUAAAACAGGCUUCAAUGCCUCAAUUCAGUUAAUCAUGAAAGACAAAUUAGCCUUUCACUAUUCCUUUCACUAGCUAGGAACAUAAACCAUUCCCUUGCACAGACUACUGUGAUGGCCUUCUCAUAAAAAACAUCACUUGGAGAAUCUUCUGGUUCAUUUCCAGUUGCUCGGGCUGCUAAGCACAAUGUACAUCUUUUAUGCAUUGGCUAGCUUCUCUUUACUAUACAGACCUUUUCUAUAUGGUUGCCUUUACUCAUUAUGUGUACAUAAUAGUUAGCCCAUUGAUAAGGAUAAGACUAAUGGUUUACUCACAAACAUAACAUACAAUCAUCAAACAUAAGACUUUACAAGCUUUCUUUAGAAAUCUCCAAGUUCAUAAACAUUUCGUGUUGAAACAAUAUUACAAACCACAAGAACUUUAGAAAGAAAGCUUAAAACAAUUUAAUCUUAGAAAACCACUUACUGAUUUUCCCUUUACUCUUUUCCUCAAUGGUUGAAGAUCUUCUUCUUACCGCUUUACCAGUAGCCUUCCUUAGUAAACUAAGCUCAAAAUGCAAACUCCUUCAAUUGGUUUGAUGUGUUUUGCUGAGAAGAACUUAGAGAACUCCUUCCCGAAAAGUUUCUUUAAAAAUUAGUGCUUCCAUGAAAAUCUUAGGAUACCUCAUGCUUGUCAUUUUUCUUAUGUCCUGCAUGGCUAACACCUUCUGCUUGCUUAAAUUCUAAGUAUUUGCAUGAACCUAGAUUCUGGAUCAAAAUAAGUUCGAGUUCUGCCUGAGAUCUCAAAUAAAUCCUGUUUUGUCUUCAGUUUCGGCUAGACACAACCCCGUAAUGGGCUGACUGCUCUUUAUUUUUAGCUUUGAGCUUCAAAUCUUGGUUGGAGACGACCACAAAAUUGCCCGAUAACCCUUAAAUUUUCAUUUUUUUUACUUCCAAUUCUGGUUGAACACGACCCCGAGAUUAUCUGAGACCCAACUUCAAAACCUUUUUGUCCUUCAUCUCAGUCGAACAAGGAUCAAGAUGGCUUUGAGAUUAUACUUCUGUCCGAGGUCUUUACAUAAAAAGCAUUAUAUCUUUCCUCUCGGCCGAGCAAGAUCAAAGUUUUAUCUUGGAAUCAAUAUUCUGUCUCAAAUCUCGACAAAGAUCUCACAAGGUUACCUUGAGAUUCCCUUUCUAAUAUACUUACUUUGGCGAACAACCAUAUUUUCAUCAACUUUUCUUCUAUCAUCCAUUCAAAACUUCAACCUCAAUUUCUCCACAUUUUCUUAGUUUUCUUUCUUCCCACCUAUCAUGACAUACUUAAAAUGACCCUUCUAUUUCGGACACACACACUGGUCUCACAGAUAACGAGCUUUCUAUCAACAAGUAAUCUGAUCUAAACUUCCACAUCUUGCAAUGUGAUUGUGGACUUCUCCCGUCGGCAUAUGAAAUGUAUGUUUUUGGCCUAUGAAAUAUGUGUGUAACAGGCUUUCAAUUAGCAAGUAAUUCAAUCAAAAGUUCCAUAUCUUGCAAAGUGACAAUGGACUCUCUAGUCGACAUAUGAAAUGUGUGUCUUUGGCCUCCAUCUCUCAACAAGUGCAGAGAUGAGAUGUCAAUCUAACUAGAUGAAUCAUAACAUUGCAAUCCCAUAAAAUUUGAUUGGACGGAGUAGUGGAAGUAUUCAACGGUGGAGUGAGAUAGUACGAUACACAACCACCUCACUCUAUCUACAGUUCAUCUUGGAUGUAGUUUAAUUAUCUCAUACAGUUGCUUAUCGAUGAAUGUUCUGAUCAUAUAAAAUGUUAUGAUCCAUUGAUCCUAGGUUUAAUAAUGUCAUUCUCUUUACAUGAAAAAUAUUUAUUUGUUUACUAGGUUAAAUAUUACGCACAAAUCAAGUCUCCAAAAUUAGCCAAAUAAACCUUCAAGGAAAAACUCCCAAUUAGAACUAAAAUUAAACUAUUUUCGAGCAAAAAAUUAUCAUUUGAUGGGUAUAUCCAAAACCCAUAAACCAAUCAAAACUCACCAAAAAGUGGUUGGAAAAGGCUAAAAAGUGUAGAAAAUUUUGACUUGGCUAUCAACUUGAAACUUGAUCGUGGCAGGAAGAGGAAGUAGCCAGCUCAUGUUGCUUAAAGGAGAUGUCGGCGCGUGCAUACAACUAAACUUGACUUCGGAGGCUUGAUAACACAUGAACUCGAAGGAUUGGCUUGCGUUAUGCGUGCGACGCGGGGCAGAGGGAGUACUUGAUGCAUGAAGAGAAACUCGGAUGAAGACUCGAUGCAUAAGGCAAUAUAUCUUUAAUAUAAAAUUUAUCAAAAAUUUGAGACAUUGCUUUAAAGGAAAAAUAAUAUUUUGUAAACCUUACGUUCAAUCUUAAACAAAAUAGUGAACAACGAACUGUUUUAUGAACGACUACAACAAGCGACAAGCACAAAAUAUUAGACCAACGAAUGAACGUCGACAAGCAACGAAUGGAUAGUUGAUUUGUAGAUGGUAACGACCAACGACGACUGCUUUGAUGAACUUUUCUUGUACGGGUGAAAGCGGUUACUUGGACAAUUUCGGGAACACUUGAAGGCAAUGGACAAAUUGUUGAUUUGUAGACGACAAUGAUUAGCGGCGGCUGCUUGGACAGACAGACACUGUUUCUUGGAUGAUUUUGUCACAGGUUCGACGACGACGACGACAAUCAAGAUUGGUUUAUUUUGGUUCAUGUUUGUAAACAUAAGCUAAGGAAAAACUCAAGGGUUUCAUGUGUCGGUAGAAAGAGAAUAUUGGGAAAUUAGGUUGAUUUGAUUUUUGGCAGAUAAUUAAUUCUUUGUCUUUGGUAUUCGGUUUGACUCUAUCGUUAUUCAAAUCAUUCAAUUGAAAGUUUGGAGUUUUAGAUUGGCUGAGGUUAUUUUUGGCAUUCUAUAUUUUUUUAUUUUGCCAUGUACAUAAUUUUAUAUUUAUUUUGCUAUUUUACCAAAUGAAAGUUAACAAUAUGCUAUUUAUCUAAUUGCCCCUUCUGGAAUUUUAUUCAAACAACUUGUUUGUUGCUUUUGCCGUAGAAUAGGGUGUCGCAGCAUAUACCUCUCAUGUGAAUAUAUACACCACAAUCAUUCUAUGAUAGUAAAUAAUCAUAUUCUAUAAUCAUAUAUUUAUCUAACUCUCCUCAUUCUUAUUUCAAAUAAUAGCAGGUGUAAUAUAUAUAUUAUUAUAAUAAUAGUAGAAAUAAAGUUAUUCUCGAUAACUAUAAAUAAGUUGAUAAUAUUAAUUUAUUUUCAUCCAUAAACUUAAUCCGUUCAUUGCUUAAUAACUUAACAAUGAUUUUGCUCGCACAACUUUUUACAUUUAAGUGAAACAAAACAUAUCAGCUAAAGUCUUUUUUUUAGUUGAUUGAUAGUUUAACAAAGUGCCAUUAUUCAUUCUUCUUUCUUCAAAAUGUUACAUGAAUGAGAGUUGAUCAAAAAACCCAAUCUUAUGGAGUAAGCUGAUAGGUUAUAGGGACAAAUAUUAGAAAAUUGGAGCAGCUGAAAGAGAAAAGUAGCAGAGCUUCCACACUAAAAUCGAUCCAUGCACAUGAACAAAACGUGUAGUUUUUUCUAGUGGGUUGGGGAAGUCAAUUAAUUAGAAAGAAUUGGGAGAAGAUGGAUAUGAAGAUUUGUAUUCUGUCUUUUGUGGAGCAGUUACAACUGCCACCGAUUUUUCACAUCUCCAAUUAACCCCAAUGAUUGCACAAACUUCAAAACCAAAAUCAAACCUAAAGAUUAUCAUGUCCAAUAAUAUAAUUACCCAAUCACUUUCAAUAUUAUAUGUUUUAAAAAAUUAAUAGUUUAUAACCAGUGGUCAAAUAUAAAAGAUUUUAAAUUCAUUGUACAUAAAUUUAAAUUUGAAAUAGUCAUACAUCCAUGCCUUUUACUAGUUAAUAGAUGGUACAUUUUGAUUCAUUUAAACCUAUAAUUUUGUAGAAGUAACAAUUUAGUUCAUUAACAAAGUUUUGACUAGUCAAUUGGUUCCAUAUUGUAGAAAUUAGUUUAAAAGUUUAAUGAGAUCUAUGCAUAAAUAAACCAAAAAACCAAUUAUAGACCCAUUAAAGACUAUAGCAUAAAAUAGUAUGAAUAUUGAGAUUAAUUUUUAUGAUUUUUUCAUUUUAUGUUGGGACUAGAUUAUAUCAAAUUUGAAAGUACAAAAUUAUUAUGUAUCACAAUUAAAGGACCAAAUUGAUACAUACAUGAAAAAUCAAAAACUAAAUUAUUACAAACCAAAGUUUAUGGACUAAAAUUGUUAGUGAUAGUUGCAAAUUUAGCAAUUAAAUUCAAAUUAAUUAAGUAUAUAGCACAAUUUUAAAAAAUUUGCAAAUAUAGCAAAAUUUGUCAAAUUCUAUCAAUGAUAUAAGUCUAUCACUGAUAGACCAUGUUGCAAACAUUGGUCUCUCACUAAUAUACCAUAUGAAGUCUAUCAGCGAUACAAGUCUAUUAGUGAUAGUUUUGCUAUAUUUGCAAUUUUUUUAAAAUGUUGUCAUAUCCUUAAUUAUUAUUGCUAAAAUAGUCAUUCAUUGCAAUUUCCCAAAUUGUUACGUUUAUGAAAGUUUAAAGACAAAGAGUUUUUUUUUUCAUCAAAUAAAGAUUUUGAUUAUUUUUGUUAUAUUUAAAUGCAUUCCACACACAAAUAUAAAAAAAAAUAAGGUUAAUUUUUAUAAAUAUAACAAAACACCAAAAUACUGAUGACCCGUGUAAUAAAAUAAAAAAGCUCAUGAUAUUUUCAUAAAUUACAGGUUUGCCCUUGAAUAAUGAGAACAAUUUUUCCCUUCUUUUUCUUCUUCUAUGUGAUUUAUUUAUCUCCUCUUCAUAUUAUUAAUUCUUCUUCGGUUUACAAUAAUAUGAAUAUUUAUGUAACUAUUUAUCAAUUUCUUCAUUUUCUAGAUUCUUCCAGAACUUCUUCCUUCUUCUUCAUUUCUCACCUUCAUUUUUUUUCAUGGUACAAGAUUAAAAUGAUAUUGGUACAGGAUUUAAACGAUUGUGUACCAAUAUCUAAAUUAUCAGUUGUCUAUUCCAGAUAGACAGAGAUAGAUCAUUGUCACUAAUAGAUCGUUUAGAUUUGAUACAAGAUUGUUUAGACUGGAUACAAGAUCAUUUAGACUAGGUACAAAGGUACAAGAUUGUUUUAUACUUGGUACAAGAUCAUUUAGACUUGCUAUGAAAUUGUUUAGACAAGGUACAAACUAAAAUCGCUUAGAUUAGGUACAACAUCAUUUACACUUGGUACAAGGAUACAAAGAUCGUUUAUAUUUGUUACAAGAUUGUUUAAACUUUGUAAGAGAUCGUUUAAAUUUGGUACAAAACCAUUUUCACGUGUGUGUGCUCAAUUAAUUGUGAGAGUGUUUUUGUUACUUCACGUUAUGGGCCCGUGAACUUUUUUCUUUUUUAAAAUUGUUUUAUACUGUGUAAUAUUUUCUUGUUUUGUUGUAUUUGUUGAAAAAACUCCUAAAAAUAAAGGUUAAGAAAAUAAAAUAAAAUGACAAACCCCAUUUUCAAAGUUAGCAACUGCACAGACUAACCCCUUCCCCUCUCAUCCUGUUUUUGCAUCUCAAGUCAAUCCAUAUCACCGACCUCAACGCAAGUGUAGCAGCUUAAUUGAUCGAUCACCAUCUGCCUUCUCUUCGUCACCAAGUCACCACCUAGCAGUGUAUGUCUUUGUGAUCAAUUCUCCAAAAGAGCUAAUUUUUUUAACCUAACUCAUGUUACUUUUCAAGAAUUUAGAGUUUAAAUGUGUUUCGAAAGACGAUAUCAAGUUUAGGAGGCUUUGAAGAUGAUUUUGGUACAAAAUAGAAUAAACGAAAUAUAUUAGAGAAUUUUUUGAAAAUAGCUUUUGAAGUUUUCAUAUUACAAAUACGAAAUAUAUUAGGUAUUGUUUUUUUUUCCCAAUUCGGGCAAAGAUCAACCAUCAAGGUUUAUGUUAAAAAAUUUAACUUAUCAAUACCUAUCUUUGGCAUUUAAGAUUAGGUCACGUGAGUCUUGAUCGAAUUGAGAAGUUGGUAAAGAAUUAACUUCUAAGCGAGUUAGAAGAUAAUUCAUUACCUUCGCGCACUACAAGAAAUAUUAGUCACAAAGAAAAAGAAGUGAAAAAUCAUCUCGUAAUAUUUACGAACAAAUAUGGAAUUUAUGAAAUUACAACGGUGGUUUUAUGAGCUUUUAUUUUUUGUUACAUGAAUCGUAAAUAUUUUUGGGUUUUGUUCUGUAUAUAUAAAUUAACCUACAUGAUAACUGGGUAUGCUCCAUUAUAAUCCAAUUUUUAUUUCGAUAAAUUUUUAAAAUUUACAUAAAUGUCUUCGUCUGAUCCUCUAUAACAAACGUCUAAGUCUAAUUACAUUAAAUUUUUGGUGCAAAAUAAAUUUACAUUUCAAUCCUUCCAUAAAAUAUGAAAUAUUAAAAAAAUAGACAAAAAAAUUGAAAUAAGAAAAAUAUGACUGAUUCGAAAAAUAUCAUUGAUAGAGAUGUUAAUAAGGUGAGGUUAAAUUUGAGAUGACUUGUUAGGAUAUGUUUGGCACAAAGAAUGAAGAAAUUGGAGUUGUGAACUCCCCCUUCUUAUUUGACUCAAGUAGUUAGAUGAGUCUGGCUAUUAAAUAAAUAUUAAUUUUAUAUCUUAUCAAUUCUUGAAUUCAAUCUACAAGUUCACAACUUUGUCCAUUUCAUAAUAUCUCACUCUUUACCUUUUAAUUUUAAAAUUAUUCAUUGCCUUAUUCUUUUUAAAAAUAAUCUACUUAGUUAAAAAAUAUAAAUUUAAAAGUUUUAAUUGAAUAGAUAAAUUUUUAAUUAGAAAAAGGGAUGAUUCAUUUGGUAAUUAAAUUAUAAUGAUUAUUAAAAUUAGAUCCAUAGACAUGUUUGUGUAGAAAUAUUGGAAUAACCAAAAUGUCUCUCACAAAUAAAAUAAAAAUGUGUGAUUGUAUUUAGUUGUCAAUCAAUUACUGUCUGAUUGUCAUUUGAUUUUCAAUUACUUGUCAAUGAUAUUAGUUCUUGUGAAUGAUAUUAGUUCCUAUCUGAUUGUUCUCCAAUUAUUGUCUAAUUAUUAUUUAAUUGUUGACGAUAUUGAUACUAAUUGUUGCCUGAUUGCUAUAUGAUAUUUAAAUAAUUGUCAAUCAAUUGAUUAAUAUUUAAAAGGGGUUAUUGUCAAUUAUACUAAUUACUAUUUGGUUGUUGUCUAAUUAGUAUCCGAUUUGACUGUGAAUGAUAUUAAUUGUUGUCUGAUAAUAGUUACUAAUGAUAUGGAUUAUUGCUGCGUUAAUAUUUAAGCUAAAUGAAAGUUAUUCAAUUGUUAAUAAUAUUGAUUGGUAUUUGAUAAUGAUCUAUCUUUAUUUCAUUGAUAUCUUUUUAUUAUCCUAUAAUGAUCAUUGGGAAUGAUACUAAUUUUCUAUUUGAUUGUUGUCUAAUAUAUUGUUACUCGACAGUAGUUGCUAUUUGGUUGCCAAUAAACAACUCAUGUAAUGGAUUGUUGUUGACUAAUUAUUAUCUGGUAUAUAUUGAUUGCAAAGCCACUCAUACUACUAUUUGACUGUUCUUAUAUUCAUAUUUGAUAUUGAAUGUUACAUGUUAAUUAUUAUCUUAUACUAAUUACGAAUGAAGCAGAUCAUUUUUCAUCUUAUUGUUUUUUAUAUUAAUUGUUAUCUCAUCAUCAAUGAUAUCCAAACUAAAAUGAUAUAUAGUUUAAUCUACAAAAUAUUUGACCCUCCUAAUUUAAUAUAUAUUAAACACAAGUUAACUAUAAAGACAUAAGUUUAAAGUAAUAUUAUAUAAAUCGAUAAAAGUUAUCUCUUUAUGACCCUAUGAAUCAAUUAAAACCUUAGAUUCAGACAAGAACCACGAUGAUUUAAUAAAAAAUUGAGGCUCAGUCUGAAGCUUCUUUAUCCGACGAAGGAAAGACGUGACUGCCUAUACAUUCUACUUGUAUCUCUUCACGAGAUGACGCAUAGAAUGCCUACUGAGCGGAUUAAAUGAACGUCAAAAUUUAAUGUGAAAUAAUUCAAUUGCGAAACAUAAAGAUUUCAUUGAGAGUGGAUCAAAAGUACAUUAUAUCAAACACAAGUACAGACCUUCUUAGUUUAAAACGUAAGUUUCUUAAAAUAACAAUCUUGGCUCCUUUAGUCUAACUCUACAUGCAAUGUGGUUUGACACUUGUCACUACUAAGUGAUGUAAGGGCACAUUAGGAAAUCAAGGUGGCAAGUUCGAGGUUGAAUGUCCUUAGCUACUUGGAGAGAAUGAAUAAAACAAAACAUUUAAAAGGUUAGACGAGACAUGUCUAGUGAGCAGGGGUUCUUUAAGAUAACACUUUACAAUAUCGUCUUAAUGAGUUGCAAUCAUUUUGUCAAGGCAUGUGAUAUAAACAACUUGCAUCUCAAUCGAUAAUACAUUCGUAAAUCACAUGGAAGGACAUUUUCUUUUUUAAAUCAAGUUUAAAGUUCAUAUCAUGCAAAGAUACGUUUGUUUUUAAAGUCUCAUAAUCUAAUCCCAGAAUCAUUUUGCAUGUUAGUUACAUCUUUGUAUUCUUUCCUCAACUAAAGCAUUUACCACACUCUUUAGCCAAGUUGUAGCUAUGUUGAAUCGUCCUAACGCAUUUAGCAAUUUUCAUCAAUUCUAGUCUGCAUAAUGUGUCUUCCAAUGACAAAACACACAACAAGCAAAGAGCAUCCCAUGCCAGAACACACGCAAGAAUAGGAAAUUAUAUUUCAAAAUACAUAGCAAUAAUAGAGUAUCUUAUCAUAGACCACACAAUAAGGAUAGAAGAUCUCACACUAGAACACACAACAAUUGUGAGGCUUCUCAUGCAUAGGGUACAAGGGCCAUCUUAAUUCAUCAUUUUAAUUUACAUCAAAACUUACACAUUUUAAAAUCCAUAUAUUUAGAAGCAUAGUCAAAAUCAUUUAUAUUCGAUGUUUCAAGGAAAACAUAUUUAAAGAUUUAAACAAAUUGGAAAUUCCUUUUUGCUUAGAAAACGUUUUAAGGGAAAACCACUCACAAAUAAGUUGGCUUCGUUGCCUACUCCUUAGCUCUGAAUCCUUUUGCACUUCACGUUGGUUUUAAGCUUUUAAAGAUGUCGGGAAAUCUUGUAAAUCCUCUCAAUUCUUUCUCAAGUGUUUGUAAGGUAGAAGCAACUUCAAAAAUGAUCGGGCUUUAUCUAUUUUAUAAGCCUUUCUGACGGCUUUUUUCAUGCAGGAAUGAUGACUUCUAUCCGACAGCGAGGGUGGUCCAUUCACAAGGUGCCACGUAUCUCUACCCAAAUCCUUAUCCUGGAUUCAGAUUGGGCAGCGAGGUUAAAUCCAUCAUCGACCUAUUGAUGCAAGGACUAUGUUGCCAUCUUUAGGUGAAGUGAGCCAAAAGUGAUUGGAUUAGUUUUAUCUUUAUCUACUUUAAUUAUUUUAUCUUUCUCAUGUUCAUUUGUCAUUUGUCUUCACGAUUUCAAAUCCAUAAAAGAGUGAAAGCAUAGUAAAAACUAAGGGUAAAAUAGAAAUAUUGAAAAGCAUGGAAUUAACUAUUAAAAUUUUUGCUAUAUAUGCAAAAUCCAAAAAUUAAAAAACCUAGCUUCAUUUGCAAUUUGCUAACGUCUCGAAAAUAGAGCUUGAAAAUUCAACACUAAUAACAACAAUAUUAUAAAUAUUAUUAAAAUAGAUGCCCUAUUAUGCUUAUUAUCCAUAACCAUGUGUCACUCCCCUCUACAUCCAACUCAUUUGCCUUGUCUCUUGAAGAUAUCAAUCCUUAAUGGUCAUAUAAUCCACCCCAUGUUUUUGGUGGAGUUUGUAAGACGAACACAAAUUGGUUAAAUUUUGGUUAAAUGAGAGAUAGUGGAUAUUUUUGGAGAUUUCUUAUUUAUUUUAUUUUAUUUUAUAGUAUUACAUUUUCUCGGUUUUUGUGUUCUGGUUGUGCCUCAUUUUCAUAGUAUGUUAUCCGCACAAACCGUAAUAGUUUUCUCCAUUAAAUAUAGGUUCUAAAGGUAUAACGAAGUUGUCUGUCACUGCUGCCCUCUAUUGUCGUCGCUCAUCGAUUUUGGUUAAGAUUGGUGAGUUAGGUGAGUGUUUUGAACUUUAUUAUGAGAUUUUAUAACCAUUAAAGGUUAAUUGAGACUCUGAGUUAUGUUUGCUAUUGGAAUUAAUUUUGGUUGGUGCAUUUUUCCAUCAAGGUUGAGAGGAUUUUUCAAUCUUCAUUUGGGUAAGUUUGAUAAGCUAAGCUAAUUCAAUUUUGGUUAUGCACGGGUAGAGUUGUGAUUUCGUUUGCAGCAACGAACUUAGCAUAGCCUAAGGUAAGGGUUAUACUACUAGAUCUUGUGUUGGGUUGGAUUAGGUUAAAUUGGAGAAAAAAAAAGUUGAGUUGGGUGUAGCCGAGUCGUGUAAUAAGGGGUUCGAGUUGACCUGAACCAAACCAAUUGUGUGUGUAUAAACCUAAAAUCUAAAAGUAAACCUCCUUUUGAAAUGGACAAUGUAGACUUGAAAUUUGAAUGUAUAAUUUUAAAUAUAUUCACCUUGCACCUUAAAUGACAAUUUGUUCACCUUACUAAUGAAAAACAAUAUGAAAGUUUGUCUAAAUUAUGGAGAGAUGAAAAAAAAAACUCACCAAUCCAACCUAACUCAACUUGGGUUGUGUUGCCCUUAACAUAUUGAAUCAAUAAGGUUCAUUUUCUAUCAACCCGAAAACUAUGGGUUGGUCCACAAAUUUUCUUUAACCGUAAGUACUUAGAAAUACACAUUACAUAAGGGUCAUGCUUGUUUUACACGAUUUUCAGUGUCUAAACACAGGUCGAUGAACAAAAGAAGAAGGUAACGCAAGAAGCGGCUUGCUAGAUGACAGAAGUUUCCUCGCCAUAAAUUUUCUAUAAAAAUUCUCAUUCUUCACCAGAGAGAGAGGGGCCUGCAUGCACCAAGAACGGCUAGACGUUUGAAUAGACCAACCAAAGGCCUGAAUAGGCCAAUCCCUAGAGAGUGGCGAAAAGGAAUAGUCAUUCUGUUGUCUAUAAAAUUUUCCUUCUUCUUCUCUGAUCAGUUGUAAAAGUAAAAGCUUGACUCCUAAGUAGGAAAGAAUCCAUACUCCCGUUGUCCUCUAACUUGUAAUAUUUUUCAUUCUCUUUUAUCUCCAUUUUUAUACUUCUUUGUAAUAUAUGUUGUUCAUAUUGUACAAUGACUAAGAUCUGUAUUCUUUAAAUAUACUACAUAUUUAUACAUUUUCAAUCCAUCAUUUCUUGACUUUUUUCCCACUCGUCAAUGUGUUAUUAGUAGUUAGAUUUGUGAUAAGUUUUUGAUAAGAAGUUUAACUUAUAAUUCUUGUCACGUUAGUUGAGCUAAGUUCAUUGCUUGGUUAGUGUAGAUCGCCAACUACCCAAGAGGGCAAGUAGUAAAGAUAAAGAUAAUGCGUGUAAGGAGGAGUCAGAAGACAAUGCGAGAUAACUUUCAUCACUUGUAUCCUGAAAGACGAACAAGUAUGAACAUGAGGCAUCGAGAGGUUACUGUUCUUAAUCAUGAAGUUCUAUAAGUAUUAUAAGUUAAGUCUUAUAAAUAUACCUCGCCUAAUCACGCUUUUUCACUUGGGUCUCGAAAGACGAACAAAUGUGGCGUCUAAGGACUUCGAGAGAAGCUUACCUUAAUCAAUAGCUGGUUAAGCAAGUUAUAUUGCAUUGAAGCUCACACAUUGCUUAAUCGCCUAAUAUUACGUAGACCUUCCAUCACCUGUUUCUCGCAUACAAGUUAGUAUGCAUCUGCAUCUCACAUCCAUUUAUUCUCCUUUAAAGAUUCUCUAGGCGUACAUAUGUAGUUUUAAUCCUAGUUCUGAUUCUUUUAUACUUUAUUUAAUUAAUUCUUUUAUACCGCCUAAUUGAUGAGUAGAUUCUAGAACUAAGUUUUGAUAGCAAUUCCCUAUGUUGGACUCUGGAUCAUCUAGAUAAACCUACUGCUUCACUUAUACUUGGGCAAACAGUAGAAAAACUUGUACUCAUCAAGAACUUAGUAGUUAUGCGAUAAAGAGGUACAUAGUGAGUACUCCGCUUACAGUGAUCAUGACUAAUGAUUUAUUGCAUAGAAUUAAUUGUGCACUUAGUUAAAUCCUUAAGUCCUAAGUUAACUUACGCGUCACACCAACCAAAUUUUUGGCGCCGUUGGACAAAACACGACAACAAACAUAUGUACACCCCUAGAAUGUUUGUGAUGGUGAAUUAUCUAAGGUUAUUGUUAAAUUGUGAAGGCUAGCCAUUGGAUUAGGCUAAAGUGUAAAGGAUAAUUAUUUGCUUAUGCUUAGUGUGGGAAUUGUAUGAUAAAGAUUGUUUACAUGUUUAUCAUGGAUUACUGUUUAGACAUAAUUGAUGAUUUUACUAUGUAAAAUUAUUAAUUAUUUUUCUUAUCUUUAGGUUAAUUUGUGGGUUUUUGAUAGAUAUACCCAUAAAAUGUUAAAUAUUGGUUCAAAAAUAAAUUUAUUUUAGAUCUAAUUGGAGUUCUUUUUUCUUUUUUUUUCAGGAUUUAUUAGCAAAUUUUGGAAGAGUUAACUUGUGGAAUUUUUUCAUCAAAUGUUGAAUUGGUUUCAACCUCAAUUUAGCAUAAGUUAAAUUGAAAA